GAUGAAGAACGUAGCGAAAUGCGAUACUUGGUGUGAAUUGCAGAAUCCCGUGAACCAUCGAGUCUUUGAACGCAAGUUGCGCCCGAAGCCGUCAGGCCGAGGGCACGCCUGCCUGGGCGUCACACGCCGUUGCCCCCCCCGCGCCCCGCACCCAACUCUUUGGGAGCGACCGCGGGGCGGGCUGAUGAUGGCCUCCCGUGCGCUCCGCCGCGCGGUUGGCCCAAAUACCGAGUCCCCGGCGACGUGCGCCACGACGAUCGGUGGUUGAGAGACCUCUGUCGCAAGUCGUGCGCGCCCGUCGCGUCACGCGGGCUCGCAUAGCGCCUCGCGCCGCACCCGGUGCGGAGCUUUCAACGCGACCCCAGGUCAGGCGGGGUUACCCGCUGAAUUUAAGCAUAUCAAUAAGCGGAGG
rnacentral:misc_RNA from 1 species